ACGUAGGGGGCAAGCGUUAAUCGGAAUUACUGGGCGUAAAGCGUGCGCAGGCGGUUUUAUAAGACAGAUGUGAAAACCCCCGGCUCAACCGGGGAACUGCAUUUGUGACUGUAUAGCUUGAGUAGGGAAGAGGGGGAUGGAAUUCCGCGUGUAGCAGUGAAAUGCGUAGAUAUGCGGAGGAACACCGAUGGCGAAGGCGAUCUACUGGGCAUGAACUGACGCUCAGGCACGAAAGCGUGGGGAGCAAACAG
rnacentral:rRNA from 1 species